GACGAACGCUGGCGGCGUGCUUAACACAUGCAAGUCGAACGGAAAGGCCCUGCUUGCAGGGUACUCGAGUGGCGAACGGGUGAGUAACACGUGGGUGAUCUGCCCUGCACUUCGGGAUAAGCCUGGGAAACUGGGUCUAAUACCGGAUAGGAGCCAUUUUUAGUGUGAUGGUUGGAAAGUUUUUUCGGUGUAGGAUGAGCUCGCGGCCUAUCAGCUUGUUGGUGGGGUAAUGGCCUACCAAGGCGGCGACGGGUAGCCGGCCUGAGAGGGUGGACGGCCACAUUGGGACUGUGAUACAGACCAGACUCAGACGGGAGGCAGCGGCGGGGAGUGGUGCACAGUGGCCUGAGGCGUGAUGCAGCGCCACCGCGUGGGGGAUGAUGUGCGUCGGGUUAUAAACACAAUUAGCUAGGGACGAAGCUUUUUGAGACGGGACCUAGAUAAGAAGCACCGGCUAACUCCGUG
rnacentral:rRNA from 1 species